rnacentral:rRNA from 1 species
UAGGGAAUCUUCGGCAAUGGACGAAAGUCUGACCGAGCAACGCCGCGUGAGUGAAGAAGGUUUUCGGAUCGUAAAACUCUGUUGUUUGAGAAGAACAAGGACGUUAGUACCUGAACGUCCCCUGACGGUAUCUAACCCGAAAGCCACGGCUAACUACGUGCCAGCAGCCGCGGUAAUACGUAGGUGGCAAGCGUUGUCCGGAUUUAUUUGGCGUAAAGCGAGCGCAGGCGGUUUCUUAAGUCUGAUGUGAAAACCCCCGGCUCAACCGGGGAGGGUCAUUGGAAGCUGGGAUAGUGGAGUGCAGAAGAGGAGAGUGGAGUUCCAUGUGUAGCGGUGAAAUGCGUAGAUAUAGGGGGUAACACCAGUGGCGAAGGCGGCUCUCUGGUCUGUAACUGACGCAGAGGCUCGAAUGCGUGGGGAGCAAACAGG